GACUGAGUUGUGUAGUGGUUACACAUCCGCGAAAUAUACAUGCUCUCUUUACCCGUACUUCGCGGCGGUUGUGGGUUCGAUUCCCACCUCAGCCU